rnacentral:tRNA from 1 species
AAAAAUCGGGAGGGUUCAAGUCCCUCUAUCCCCA